CUUUCUUUGAUUUUCUUUCUUCUCCUUCUUCUCUGUAUUAUUGUUUUUUUGAUGUUACUUCUUUGCAUCCGGGAAGUGUUGCAUGAGGUUCUACCUGGAAGCGCUGUUCACUUUGUUACUGGAUUUUUGAAGUCAAUGGAUGGCUUAAAAUUGUGAUUACCAAGAAUAAGUAAGGAUAGAUAUUAGAGCUACCAUUCAUUAAGCUCGCUGGUAUAGAGAAGAAGAGUUGUUUAAUUGGAGUCUCGAGAGGAAAUGGAACUAGAAAGCUCGACGAAAGGGAUAAGUUUGUAUGAAUUUUCAAUAUCCUUAUCCACAAAGGGAAAGAACUAAAAGACCACUAUCAUACACGGACAAGCGGCAAUUUAAGUUCCAGGGGAUGGAAAAACUUCGCCCUUAGGCCUGAUAGAUGCAUUAGUAAUGAGCAGAAAGACAUUGCACAACUCUUUGCUCCUUAACUUGCUGCUUGAGGAAACCUCAUUCAAUUGAUUCUACAGCUUUGAAGAUGUAUUGGAAGUUUAUGAACAAGGAGCUCCGGGUUUUCUUAAGCAUCCAAUGCAACACUUUGUGAGAGGUAAUUGACUUUAGCUAGACCCCCCUCUGUAAUUAUUCCUUUGCGUUGCGUUUUCCUGAAAUUGUACGUUGUAGAAACAGAGAAGCAAGCUUGGAUGUCAGAUGAAGAAUUUGGAAGACAGAUGCUAGCUGGAUUAAAUUCCAUGUGCAUUCUGAGCUCAUCUUUAUUUAAAGCAUUAACAAAUUUGAAAUUUUGGUUCGACAUGUGGGUGGAGAGGUCCAAAGUGUUCACUUUGACAAAGUUUAAAAUCUGUUGAUUUUGAUAUCAAGAAAGAGAAUUAGUUUAGUUUUUCCCUUGCAGAUUACUGUAAUUGGGCCCAUGCUAAGCACUAGUCGCUUUUAGAAAGUGAUUUACUUUUUGCCGCUAAACUAAGCGAAAUAUUCCGGUGAAAGGGGUUCUUAAAUCUUUACAGAUUCUAUUUGCGAGGUAAAAAGUUGAUGUGCUGUCCCAUCUAAGCUGCUACAUGUUAAUAGAAGGGUCUUGUAACCAAAAAAUUACUUUUUGAGCUAAUUUAAAUUUUCUGCUCUGACAUCAAGGUUUAUAGAGUGGGGAUGGAACAUGGUCUUUUAUUUAAAGCAUUCUGUUUUAUGAGAUCUUUAUAGUAACUAUGAGAUUAUUCGUGUCUGUGCGUUUAAAUCAACUAAUUUCAUUUGUCCUUUUAUUUCAUUUUUACCUGAUUUUGUAUAUUCUUUAAUGAAGUUCUUUAAUUUCAUUUUCUUUUGGUGCCUAUUCUUUGGAUUGUUACUGACAUAUUUUGUCCUUUGAUGGUUUCCUUUCUGCCCUGUUAUUUUAGUAGCUUCUGCUGCAACAGGAAAGAAAGGUGGAUGAGGGAUUGAAAAAAUUGAGCGAACUUAUAGUAGCUUCUUGAAAUCCUACUAGCUGGCGUUGGUAGUUGUAGAAGAACUGAGGAUUGGGCCUAAAGUAAUCAAGAAGCUGGAGACAUCUUCUUUAUGCAAGAAGAUGAAGGCGAGUAAUUACAUUUUGGAUGGACUCAACAACACUGCCCAAAAAAUCAAGUAUGAAUAUUACCAAUUUCAAUUUCCUGCAUUCUAUGUUUCUGCUCAGUUCUUUUUCUAAUCUGAAAAAAUAAUUGCAUAGCUUUGGGUUUUAAAAUGUGACACACAGUUCCUAUGGAGCCAAAUCCUCCUAACAUGGCAAUAGAUUUAGUUAUUCCCGCACUUAAGCUGAAAAGAUCACGACUGCUUGACCAUUAUGAGGUAGCUCUUCUUUUGAGAAGAAGACAUAGAGCACAUGUGGAUGUUGUGGACAAGAAAUGAUGCACGGCACUUGAACAAGCUUCAGAUGAGUUGGCGUUCAAAU